CGUCUUCCUUUCCACCCGCGCCGCACAAGGAUGGAUAAGGCGAGCGCUCUGAGCUGCGGAGCAGUGGAAGGAGCGCCGGGGAGGGGACACUCCACGGCGGCGGUGCUUGGGGCUCCGACGAGCGCAGACGAGCGGCGACGCCCUGAAGGCCAUCAGCCAUGGCCAUUGUGGUUUCGCGUGCGCCCGCGAGCGGCUGCACGCUGGGGGGAGGCGGAGCUCGAUGCAGCGCGCGAACCUAGCCUUGGUGCGACGGCGGCGCGGCUGCUGUCCUCCCGUCCAACCCGCAGCACGUCGAGCCUCACCGGAGUUCCUCCAUGACGCCGGAAGCAGCUGCCACUGCCCUCCAUGGAGCCCCGACGCCUCCGCCAUGAACCCAUCCAUCCCGACCUCCUGUGCGCGCUUCCCUGCAACUCCAGACGCCGCCCGCAGCUCUCUGCAUCGAGCAGCAGCAGUUCGGGCAGAGGACGACGCCUCUGCCUCGACCGCUCGCCCCCUCUGCUUCGCGCUGGACUGCCAAGUCCCUCCCGUCCUCAUCCCCAUGCAGCUGCGCGCUCUCGCCUGCCCCCACGGCGAGCUCCGCCUCCUGCGUGCGGUCGCCGCCUCCCUCAACCUCCACCACCUGCUGCAAGUUGGUGCCCGGCGGCGGCAGAGUUGCUGCUCCCGUGUCGUGAUUGGACUCCGUGUUCUUCUCCAACAGCAAAUACGUGUUCUUCUCCAACACCAAUCAAUGGAUUUCCCGAGCCGGAUUUGAGUUGCCUACUAUAAGAAGGAAGGGUCCUCGGACCAGAAGCUCCAUCAAAUCAAAUCAAAUCAAAUCCCGUCGAAAUUGCAAUUUUCGUCGAAACGUCCAUGUCGCCGCCGAGUUCGCCGGAGGAACCAGAACGUCCGUCCAACCGUCCAAUGUCGCUGCCGGCGGCUACAACAGAGUACUAAGUGGCUUCGCACUGAUGCAAGACGAACAACAGCCGGCUUAGAUGAGUCACUUGAGUGCUGUCUUGAAAACAACAUGAGCAAGACUGGACUUGAUGGGCAUUCGAGACUGUCCCUUUUUGAUGGAAAUGUUCUUCAGCUGAAUGAAUCUCAUCUUGUCAAGCAAAAGAUCAGUGAUCUCGUGCAGUGGCGGAGCUUGGUGGGGGCCAACCUGAGCCCCAUGGCCCCCCCAGCCCAGAAGAAAUUUUCUGUAUAUAGCUUAGUAUUAGGCCUAUUUGUCCACUAAAAAUCACCCAAAAAUAAUUAUGUUUGCCCCCCCCCCCCCCCCAAGAAAAACCAUGGCCUCCCCAUGAUUUCGGCUCAAGCUCCGCCACUGAUCUCGUGCAAGGUCCAAAUGUUACCGGUGAUCAUGGCUCUACAGAAAUGAACAACUGCGACCAGACAGAUUACGAAAUGUUCAGCCAAUUUGACCAUGUCAGAUGCAGUUUUGCUUGGAGGAGACAUAAUUUGUGCAUUCAAAUACAGUUGUUGUUGCGCUCACAGGAGAAAGGACUUAGUUUUGUGUUUCAGGCAUUGAGACAGUCCACUUUCUAAAAGAGGUGGUGGUAUAUUUGUAACCUAACUGUGCCCACGAUCAGCAAGAAAAUCAUUACAUUGAAGUUUUUAUUUGUUCGAUGUACCCCUGAAAUUUGCUGUCAAACAAGUGUUAUAGUAGGAUAGUUAAGUGGAUUUUUUUUUGGCUUUACAUCAUCACAUGACUACUGAUCUAAAUGUUCUCUGCCACACUAGCUUUCCUUUCAAGGGAAAUUUGUAAACUGUUGUAGCUAUUUAUUUUCCAUGCAUUUUGAAUGUUAAUCAAGACCAAUGCUGUA